rnacentral:rRNA from 1 species
AGUGUAAAGGCAUAAGGGAGCUUGACUGCGAGACCUACAAGUCGAGCAGGGUCGAAAGACGGACUUAGUGAUCCGGUGGUUCCGCAUGGAAGGGCCAUCGCUCAACGGAUAAAAGCUACCCCGGGGAUAACAGGCUUAUCUCCCCCAAGAGUUCACAUCGACGGGGAGGUUUGGCACCUCGAUGUCGGCUCAUCGCAUCCUGGGGCUGUAGUCGGUCCCAAGGGUUGGGCUGUUCGCCCAUUAAAGCGGUACGCGAGCUGGGUUCAGAACGUCGUGAGACAGUUCGGUCCCUAUCCGUCGUGGGCGUAGGAAAUUUGAGAGGAGCUGUCCUUAGUACGAGAGGACCGGGAUGGACAUACCUCUGGUGUACCAGUUGUCGUGCCAACGGCAUAGCUGGGUAGCUAUGUGUGGACGGGAUAAGUG